rnacentral:sRNA from 1 species
GGGGCGCCGGGCGGCCGUUAGGCCAUUGGCGUGGCAAAUGCAACACGGAGAAAACGAUG